rnacentral:rRNA from 1 species
AACGAACGCUGGCGGCGUGCCUAACACAUGCGAGUCGAACGAGAAAGGGGCUUCGGCUCCGAGUAAAGUGGCGCACGGGUGAGUAACACGUGGGUAACCUGCCUCUAAGAUUGGGAUAACUCGUCGAAAGAUGAGCUAAUACCGAAUAAGACCACAGUUCCCGCGGGAACAGGGGUCAAAGGUAGCCUCUGCUUGCAAGCUAUCACUUAGAGAUGGGCCUGCGCACCAUUAGCUAGUUGGUAGGGUAACGGCCUACCAAGGCAAAGAUGGUUAGCUGGUCUGAGAGGAUGAUCAGCCACACUGGAACUGAGACACGGUCCAGACUCCUACGGGAGGCAGCAGUGGGGAAUAUUGCGCAAUGGGCGAAAGCUUGACGCAGCAACGCCGCGUGAGUGAUGAAGGCCUUCGGGUCGUAAAGCUCUGUCGGGAGGAACGAAUGCUCCUGAGGUUAACAGCCUCGGGAGGUGACGGUACCUUCAAAGGAAGCACCGGCUAACUCUGUG